CAACCUGCCUAUAACUAGGGAAUAACCUUGCGAAAGUAAGACUAAUACCCUAUGAUUUCCUUUGAUGACAUCAGAUUAGGAAUAAAGAUUUAUCGGUUAUAGAUGGGGAUGCGUCUGAUUAGCUUGUUGGCGGGGUAACGGCCCACCAAGGCAACGAUCAGUAGGGGUUCUGAGAGGAAGGUCCCCCACAUUGGAACUGAGACACGGUCCAAACUCCUACGGGAGGCAGCAGUGAGGAAUAUUGGUCAAUGGGCGAAAGCCUGAACCAGCCAAGUAGCGUGCAGGAUGACGGCCCUAUGGGUUGUAAACUGCUUUUAUACAGGAAUAAAGUUAGCCACGUGUGGUUAUUUGUAGGUACGGUAUGAAUAAGGACCGGCUAAUUCCGUGCCAGCAGCCGCGGUAAUACGGAAGGUCCAGGCGUUAUCCGGAUUUAUUGGGUUUAAAGGGAGCGUAGGCCGUCUGUUAAGCGUGUUGUGAAAUGUAGAUGCUCAACAUCUGAAUUGCAGCGUGAACUGGCAGACUUGAGUGUGCGCAACGUAGGCGGAAUUCGUGGUGUAGCGGUGAAAUGCUUAGAUAUCACGAAGAACUCCGAUUG
rnacentral:rRNA from 1 species